CCCGAGCCCAGCCCAAAGAAGGUAUUAUCCUUUUCUAAUUUCUAUGACCUAACAACUGGCGUGUUUUAGUUCCGACGCCGUUAGCUGCUCUAGCCUACCGUGAUGCCGCUGCCGUAGUGUCAGUGAGAAACCUCUCGUAGUUGUCGGGUCCUUGAACCUUGCUCGCCUUUCCUACUAGCUGUGAAAGGUCAUAUCCUACGUUCUCUCUCUCGCCGAUCUUACUCCUGAUUUCCAAUUGGAAAGCAGCUAAAAGUCACUGUGCCGUGACCACUGGUAACUGCUAAUAUUCCGUUUUGACGUUGAUUGGAAGAGAUGGUGAGGCUCACCGCUGACUUGAUCUGGAAAAGCCCUCAUUUCUUCAAUGCAAUCAAAGAGCGCGAGUUAGAUCUUCGGGGCAACAAGAUAGCUGUAAUUGAAAACUUGGGUGCUACUGAGGACCAAUUUGACACCAUAGAUUUAUCCGACAAUGAGAUUGUCAAACUGGAAAACUUACCAUAUCUUAACCGGUUGGGUACAAUACUUAUUAAUAACAAUAGAAUUACUAGAAUUAAUCCUAACAUUGGAGAGUUCCUGCCACAGUUACACACGCUAGUUCUCACAAACAACAGGAUUGCAAACUUAGUAGAAAUUGAUCCUUUAGCAUCCCUUCCAAAGCUGCAGUUUCUUAGUCUGCUAGACAACAAUAUUACAAAGAAAGCAAAUUACAGGCUCUAUGUUAUUAGUAAGCUGAAGUCCCUCCGGGUUUUAGAUUUCAAGAAAGUGAAAAAUAAGGAACGGUUGGAAGCUAAAAGCUUGUUUGCAUCAAAAGAAGUUAUAGAAGAAGUUCAAAGGACACCAGUAAAAACGUUGUCACCUGGUGAAACUCCAAAUGUUCCAGAAGCAACUGAGGAACAGCAGACCCCAAAAGUUGUUGCUCCCACAGCUGAGCAAAUUAUUGCUAUUAAGGCUGCCAUUGUGAAUUCUCAGACUCUUGAAGAGGUUGCUAGACUUGAAAAGGCAUUGAAGUCUGGACAGCUUCCUGCAGAUUUAGAAGGCUUGAAUGAAAAUAUAAUGUUGGAUAAUGUUAAUGAAAAACUUGAGAAUGCGAUUCAUGUUGAUAAGGGUCAAGCUGAUGGUGAAUUUAAUGAUACACGAGCAGAAAAAUAUUGAUUCUGCUUCCAUGGAACAGGCGUUGAAGUGUGCAUUUGAUGUUUGCUAAUAGCAUUUUUGUAUGGACUUAAUGAAGCACGGUGUGCAAUAUGCCAAUAUGACAGGAUUAGAGUGAUGAUUUUGAAAUAGUCAUGGCACUGUGCACUCCUUUUAUGCUGGGUGCUUGAGUCAAAAUCUUGGAAAUUUCCUAUAAGUUGUACUUGCUGAGUCGUUUGAAGUGAACUAUAGGCAGUAUCUAGACUUUCUCUCAACGGGUUGAGAACCGAAGGUUUCAUUUCUCGGUUUCAUUUCUCUCUUGGUAAACCGCUGCUUUAGCAUUUAUAUGUAUUAAAUUUCACUGUCUUUACACUUGAAUGAUUAGGGCAUUUUUGCCCAUAGCCAUUAAUUUGGUGGUUCAAGAAAAUGAUUUACUUUUUUUCCAGUCCAGCAUUUAGUCGUACAUAAAGAUGUGUAACCUGAAACAUUUAAGUAGGUUGAAAUAACCAUAAUGAUAUUAUCUGGCGGCACUAACCUGUACCUAACAAAAAAAGAUGCAUUGACCUUGAAUCCUUACUGUUGGAUGAAUUGAAAGAGAUCGAUGGCAGAGUUUUCAUCAGUAACGUGUUAACUAGGCAAAGUUGGAUAAGGUUAAAAUUCCAAUACAGGUCCGAGUGGAAAUUAAUUCGUG